CUAUGUGUUGUUGGGUAGGGGAGCGUUCUGUAAGCCUGUGAAGGUGGCCUGUGAGGGUUGCUGGAGGUAUCAGAAGUGCGAAUGCUGACAUAAGUAACGAUAAAGCGGGUGAAAAGCCCGCUCGCCGGAAGACCAAGGGUUCCUGUCCAACGUUAAUCGGGGCAGGGUGAGUCGACCCCUAAGGCGAGGCCGAAAGGCGUAGUCGAUGGGAAACAGGUUAAUAUUCCUGUACUUGGUGUUACUGCGAAGGGGGGACGGAGAAGGCUAUGUUGGCCGGGCGACGGUUGUCCCGGUUUAAGCGUGUAGGCUGGUUUUCCAGGCAAAUCCGGAAAACCAAGGCUGAGGCGUGAUGACGAGGCACUACGGUGCUGAAGCGACAAAUGCCCUGCUUCCAGGAAAAGCCUCUAAGCAUCAGGUAACAUCAAAUCGUACCCCAAACCGACACAGGUGGUCAGGUAGAGAAUACCAAGGCGCUUGAGAGAACUCGGGUGAAGGAACUAGGCAAAAUGGUGCCGUAACUUCGGGAGAAGG
rnacentral:rRNA from 1 species